rnacentral:rRNA from 5 species
CUGACCUCAAAUCAGG